AGUCGAACGGGCUCUUCGGAGCUAGUGGCGGACGGGUGAGUAACGCUGUGAGAAUCUGCCUUCAGGAGGGGGAUAACGACUGGAAACGGUCGCUAAUACCCCAUAUGCCUACGGGUGAAAUGUUUUUCGCCUGAAGAUGAGCUCGCGUCCGAUUAGCUAGUUGGUGAGGUAAGAGCUUACCAAGGCAACGAUCGGUAGCUGGUCUGAGAGGAUGAUCAGCCACACUGGGACUGAGACACGGCCCAGACUCCUACGGGAGUGCAGCAGUGGGGAAUUUUCCGCAAUGGGCGCAAGCCUGACGGAGCAAGACCGCGUGCGGGAUGACGGCCUAAUGGUUGUAAACCUGCUUUUCUCUGGGAAGAAGAUGACGGUACCAGAGGAAUAAGCCUCGGCUAACUCCGUGCCAGCAGCCGCGGUAAUACGGAGGAGGGCAAGCGUUAUCCCGGAAUUAUUGGGCGUAACGCGUCCGUAGGUGGGUUCAUCAAGUCAGCUGGUUAAGAGCGGAGCUCAACUCCGUCGG
rnacentral:rRNA from 1 species